CACCCCGGUAACGGGUACCCCAGCUGGGGGAGGUCUUGGCACCCGCACCCCAGUAACGGGGCACCAGGCCUGGGAGGUCACAGCAGGGUGCACCCCGGUAAUGGGGGCUCCUGGUGCACGUGUUGCAGAGGAGGUGGGCACGGUGUACCGGGCCACGGGGGGCUGGCACCGUGCACCCCCGUAACGGGGCCCCUCUGCCCGGGGGGGGCUGGCACGGUGCACCCCGUUAACGGGAGCUCGCAGUGCACCCCAUUAAGGUGCUCCGCAGGGGGCAAGAAGCUGGGGGGGGCUCCCGGUGCCCCACGGUGGGGGGGUCCAUCCCGGAGCCAGGACCCUCGCUCAGGCCUGGGGCACAGCGGGGCAGCCCCCCCCCCCCGGGCCUCACACAGCACCCAUGGGUGCAGCUGGGGCUGGGAGGCCCUCGGAGGCUGCUUGGCCCCGUGUCCUCCGGGAUACGCCAUUGCCACUGGGUGCCAUCGUGCCGGUGGCAGCUCCGGCGGUGCCAGGGCCGCACGUGCGGAAUUCCGGCACAUCCCAGGCGCUGCCGCUGGCUCCCGGCCACCCCUGGUGCGGGGGACUGUGGGCGGGGGGGGUGUCUGUCUCUUCACCCCGAUAACAAGCAACAUGAUGAGGAAACGGCCUCGCAUCACACCGCGGGAGGUUUAUAUCAGAUAUUAGGAAAAAAAUAUUACUUUUUUUUCAUGGAAAGGACUGCCAAGCCCUGGCACCAGCUGCCCAGGGAGGCAGUGGAGUCGCCAUCCCUGGAGGUGUUUAAAAACCGGGUGGAUGCGGAGCGGAGCGCCGCGGUUUGGGAAUGGGCUGGGCAGUGCUGGGAGAGUAGUUGGACUUGAUGAUCUCCAAGGUCUUUCCCAACCUAAACAGCUCUCUCAUUCUGUAUGGUUGGUUUUUUUAAUUUUCCCUAGUGCUGAGCACCUGGCAAGUACCCUGUGUGCGCACCGGGUUUUUCCCAGCUUGCCCAUCACCCUGUCCCAUCCUGGGAGCACCCGCUGGGCACUGUGCAGCAUCUGGCCCUUGGAUCUGGAGGACACGGGUCACUUUCUCCCUGGCUUCGGUCACAUCUGCGCUCCCCAGCUCCAGGCUUGCUUCACCUGCCCGGACAGCUGCGUGGCGUUGCUUUUCUCCCUACUCCAGGCUAACAGCCACCUUCCUCCUCCUCCCCGUGCACGAACUGCAGCACCAAGGUGCAACCUGGGUGUUGUGGGGCUCCCAGUAGAACCUUCCUGGCCAGGCUGGUGUUCUCCUCAGCCAAAAAACCUUGGAAGCGCAUGAGCAGGAUGAGGUUUCUCUGCCAUUUCCCAUGGCCAAGCAGCCCACCCUGGGGUCCCCUGGGGUCCCCGUGCUGCAGAGCAUCACUGAGGCUUGUGGAAGAUGCUAUGUAAGGAAUCUGUCUUAAAAAGUGAUGUACACAAUACAGCCAGAGUAUUUACAGGGUAAUAGAUGUCCCAAGUGGGUGAUGUCA